CCCUAUUAUUAAGAAAAAUUAUAUUGUUAGUAUAUAAAUUGUAUGAAAACAAAAAAUUAUGGCGGUAUUUUAAGCUUUUCAGAGGAAUUUGCUCUUUAAUGGAUAAAACACCUAAAUCUUACUAAAUUUAGUUAAGCAGUUUGUAUACCACUAUUUAAGUAAUAAUUUGCUAUUAUUACUAAAAUUUAUAUUAAUUAAAAAAAGUUAAGUCAAGGUGCAGCAUAAAUUUUAGUAUGAAGUGAAUUACAUUUCUUUUAAGAAAAAUUUGUUGAAAAUAAAAUUUAGGAUUUGAAAGUAAAAUUUUAAUAGAAGGAAAAUUUGAAUUAAGCUCUAAAAUAUGUACACAUCGC
rnacentral:rRNA from 1 species